CGUAGGGGGCAAGCGUUGUCCGGAUUUAUUGGGCGUAAAGCGCGUGUAGGCGGCCAGGUAGGUCCGUUGUGAAAACUCGAGGCUCAACCUCGAGACGUCGACGGAAACCAUCUGGCUAGAGUCCGGAAGAGGAGAGUGGAAUUCCUGGUGUAGCGGUGAAAUGCGCAGAUAUCAGGAAGAACACCCGUGGCGAAGGCGGCUCUCUGGGACGGUACUGACGCUGAGACGCGAAAGCGUGGGGAGCGAACAGGAUUAGAUACCCUGGUAGUCCACGCCGUAAACGAUGGGUGCUAGGUGUGGGAGGUGUCGACUCCUUCCGUGCCGAAGCUAACGCAUUAAGCACCCCGCCUGGGGAGUACGGCCGCAAGGCUA
rnacentral:rRNA from 1 species